UCGUCGCUCGUCAGUAGUUUGAUCCUGGCUCAGGACGAACGCUGGCGGCGUGCUUAACACAUGCAAGUCGAACGAUGAAGCCGGGGCUUUUUUGUUUUUGGUGGAUUAGUGGCGAACGGGUGAGUAAUACGUGAGUAACCUGCCCUUGUCUUUGGGAUAAGCCUGGGAAACUGGGUCUAAUACCGGAUAUUCUGCUCUUGCCGCAUGGUGGGGGUUGGAAAGAUUUUUUGGAUGGGGAUGGGCUCACGGCCUAUCAGCUUGUUGGUGGGGUGAUGGCCUACCAAGGCGUCGACGGGUAGCCGGCCUGAGAGGGUGACCGGCCACAUUGGGACUGAGAUACGGCCCAG
rnacentral:rRNA from 1 species